UUGCGGGGACAGGAUUUGAACCCGUGACCUCAAGGUUAUGAGCCUUGCGAGCUACCAAACUGCUCUACCCCGCG
rnacentral:tRNA from 1 species